rnacentral:rRNA from 1 species
GGAGAAAAGCAGGGGAUCGCAAGACCUUGCGCUCAUUGAGCGGCCGAUGCCUGAUUAGCUAGUUGGUGAGGUAAAGGCUUACCAAGGCGACGAUCAGUAGCUGGUCUGAGAGGACGACCAGCCACACUGGGACUGAGACACGGCCCAGACUCCUACGGGAGGCAGCAGUGGGGAAUUUUGGACAAUGGGGGAAACCCUGAUCCAGCCAUGCCGCGUGAGUGAAGAAGGCCUUCGGGUUGUAAAGCUCUUUCAGCCGGAACGAAACGGUCACGGCUAAUACCUGUGACUACUGACGGUACCGGAAGAAGAAGCACCGGCUAACUACGUGCCAGCAGCCGCGGUAAUACGUAGGGUGCGAGCGUUAAUCGGAAUUACUGGGCGUAAAGCGUGCGCAGGCGGUUUUGUAAGUCAGAAGUGAAAUCCCCGAGCUUAACCUGGGAACUGCGUUUGUAAUAGAAGGCUAGAAGGGCKMCBRNAGGAGGAAAGCAGGGGAUCGCAAGACCUUGCGCUCAUUGAGCGGCCGAUGCCUGAUUAGCUAGUUGGUGAGGUAAAGGCUUACCAAGGCGACGAUCAGUAGCUGGUCUGAGAGGACGACCAGCCACACUGGGACUGAGACACGGCCCAGACUCCUACGGGAGGCAGCAGUGGGGAAUUUUGGACAAUGGGGGAAACCCUGAUCCAGCCAUGCCGCGUGAGUGAAGAAGGCCUUCGGGUUGUAAAGCUCUUUCAGCCGGAACGAAACGGUCACGGCUAAUACCUGUGACUACUGACGGUACCGGAAGAAGAAGCACCGGCUAACUACGUGCCAGCAGCCGCGGUAAUACGUAGGGUGCGAGCGUUAAUCGGAAUUACUGGGCGUAAAGCGUGCGCAGGCGGUUUUGUAAGUCAGAAGGGAAAUCCCCGGGCUUAACCUGGGAACUGCGUUUUUUAAAGGAAGCUAGAAGGGC